UGGGGAAUAUUGCACAAUGGGCGCAAGCCUGAUGCAGCAACGCCGCGUGAACGAUGAAGGUCUUCGGAUCGUAAAGUUCUGUUGCAGGGGAAGAUAAUGACGGUACCCUGUGAGGAAGCCCCGGCUAACUACGUGCCAGCAGCCGCGGUAAUACGUAGGGGGCUAGCGUUAUCCGGAUUUACUGGGCGUAAAGGGUGCGUAGGUGGUCUUUCAAGUCGGUGGUCAAAGGCUACGGCUCAACCGUAGUUAGCCUCCGAAACUGGAAGACUUGAGUGCAGGAGAGGAAAGUGGAAUUCCCAGUGUAGCGGUGAAAUGCGUAGAUAUUGGGAGGAACACCAGUAGCGAAGGCGGCUUUCUGGACUGCAACUGACACUGAGGCACGAAAGCGUGGGUAGCAAACAGG
rnacentral:rRNA from 1 species